AUUGAACGCUGGCGGCAGGCCUAACACAUGCAAGUCGAACGAGUGGCGGACGGGUGAGUAAUGUCUGGGAAACUGCCUGAUGGAGGGGGAUAACUACUGGAAACGGUAGCUAAUACCGCAUACCAUCAGAUGUGCCCAGAUGGGAUUAGCUGGUUGGUGGGGUAACGGCUCACCAAGGCCACGAUCCCUAGCUGGUGUGAGAGGAUAAGCAGCAACACUGGAAAUGAGACGAGUCCCAGACUCCUACGGGAGGCAGCGGUGGGGAAUAGUACACAAUGGGCGGAAGGCUGAUGCGGCCAAGCCGAGUGUAGGAAGAAGGCCUUCGGAUUGUAGAGUACUUGCAGCGGGGAGGCGUUACCCGCAGAAGAAGCACCGGCUAACUCCGUGCCAGCAGCCGCGGUAAUUC
rnacentral:rRNA from 1 species